rnacentral:rRNA from 1 species
GAUGAACGCUGGCGGCGUGCCUAAUACAUGCAAGUCGAGCGAACAGACGAGGAGCUUGCUCCUUUGACGUUAGCGGCGGACGGGUGAGUAACACGUGGGUAACCUACCUAUAAGACUGGGAUAACUUCGGGAAACCGGAGCUAAUACCGGAUAAUAUUUUGAACCGCAUGGUUCGAUAGUGAAAGAUGGCUUUGCUGUCACUUAUAGAUGGACCUGCGCCGUAUUAGCUAGUUGGUAAGGUAACGGCUUACCAAGGCAACGAUGCGUAGCCGACCUGAGAGGGUGAUCGGCCACACUGGAACUGAGACACGGUCCAGACUCCUACGGGAGGCAGCAGUAGGGAAUCUUCCGCAAUGGGCGAAAGCCUGACGGAGCAACGCCGCGUGAGUGAUGAAGGUCUUCGGAUCGUAAAACUCUGUUAUUAGGGAAGAACAAACGUGUAAGUAACUGUGCACGUCUUGACGGUACCUAAUCAGAAAGCCACGGCUAACUACGUG